CAGUCGCCGCGGUAAUACGGAGGGUGCAAGCGUUAAUCGGAAUUACUGGGCGUAAAGCGUGCGUAGGCGGCUUUUUAAGUCGGAUGUGAAAUCCCUGAGCUUAACUUAGGAAUUGCAUUCGAUACUGGGAAGCUAGAGUAUGGGAGAGGAUGGUAGAAUUCCAGGUGUAGCGGUGAAAUGCGUAGAGAUCUGGAGGAAUACCGAUGGCGAAGGCAGCCAUCUGGCCUAAUACUGACGCUGAGGUACGAAAGCAUGGGGAGCAAACAGGAUUAGAUACCCGAGUAGUCCCUGUCUCUUAUAC
rnacentral:rRNA from 1 species